rnacentral:lncRNA from 12 species
UCAAGAACCAGAUUGUCUUGGAGGUGGUUUCUGUGGGGAAAAGUCUGUAUAUCUACAAAACUUCACUGUGCUUCCAGGUAAGUGUCUGUUUCUACAACAGGAUUUUCAAAGAGGACCCUUCUGGCCUUGCUCAUGACAGGGGCUUGGAAUACACAAGUAGUAGCCAGGCCUGAGUAACAACAUCUAGAGCACACCAAAGUCCCCAGAACUCCCUGCUAUUGCUAUUCCAGGAACAGCUGAUCUUCAGCUUCAGAUGAACUGUUGACUACCAGAGUGAUCCAAAUCCAUCUGUCAGGGAGCUUAAUAUCUAGAGGCUGCUACAAGAAGGAACUGGUGUGAGGGUGGAAGUAAACUGGUGACAGAUCUACUGCAG